GCCGGUAACAGUACAAGGCAUGAACAGUGAAAGUGUUCCCGAGCCGGAGCAGGGCAGGGGUCAGCCAGGAGCCACGGCGGAAGUUCACACAAACGCCGGUCCCGGCGCCGGCGCAUCCACGGCCCGGCCGGCCACACGAUACCGCCGUCCUACGCAAGACAGCAGUAAGUCCACCUCCACCUGAGACGUGCUCAACACUUACUGUCACGCGCUUCCCGGCUCACGAUGAUAAAUAUUUACUCCUUAGGAAAGGAGUAUAGACAACCCGCUCUCCUCUCCUGCCUCUUCUUUCCGCCCCCGCGCACGGCAGUCGGGAGCCACUAAUCAGCGGCGACUGACAACUGAGAUUAGUGGCUCAUCACCUGAGCUUCUUCAGCCAUGUUUGUAACAAAGUAUCGUUGAGUGGAGCAAUUAGACCGGCGCUCAAGGGAUUGCCGAGCUCCUCUGAGCUACUUUACAUGCUUUGCCCUUAAUAAGCCACAUCAGGACUCCUGGCUAUUCCUUCCUCCUCAACGAGGACUGUAUGCGGAUGAUACCCUUCCCUUCACUUCUGAUCCAAGGGACGUAAUCAGGUGAGGUGUAAGGUAUUUCAGGCGCAUGUUUUUGAUUGACAGAUAGACGUUCGAGAAGAAUAUCGGACUGAAUUGUUCAAGUAUUUGAGAGGAAGUCAGUGCGCUGGAUCUGGCAAAAUGAACUGCCAAGUUGCAUGGAGCGAAUUGGGUGAUCUUAGAUGUCGAGCAGCAUUGUAUAAUUUCAACGCUCUCACUGAUGAUGAAAAGUCUCUGUGUCCGAAUGCUAUAACGGCUGCCUGUAGAUUCACCGAUUACAACUGUGUCGUUUAUGUGCCGUUGCCGAAAGAAGAUGGAGCCACUGGAACUACAUUCAAACAAGUGCCAUUGAAGAAGUGUGUAGAAAAAGUGCGUGGCUUUGCCCAGCAAAGUAGAGAAUUUAGAGAAUUCUUAGGUGCGAAGAAAAAGAAUCUAUGAGCGAAGAUAUUUCAAAAUUUCUUCAAAAUUUGAACUGUCAAAAAUAAACUGACAAACAUUUUGUGCCGUAAUAAAUAAGCUGUUUGAUUAUUUGUCAAAACUGACUAUCGUAAUAAACCCAAUAUUUUAGAAUAAAUGUGUGUGACCGAUAAUAGAAAGAUAAUUUAAGGUACGCUACUUACUAAGCGGAAAAAUUUGUAUUUUAAGGGUUCAGUAGAAAGCCUUCUCUUGUUUCCUAGAGAAUGAAUUGCGAAAGUUUUUGAACAAUUUUUGUGCCAAUCUAGGGCAUGAUAAUGCAUUAAAAUCUGACAUAUCACGGGAAUGAAGUAUGAUAAUUUUAUCUUGGUGAUCUUGGCGCUAGCUAUAAGAGUAAUUUAGAGCCGGAGGUAGAUGUAUGGCUCCAGCCAUAGAUGUGGUUGAAUCAACCAUGCUUCUUACUGGUGCAAAGCCAUUUCUAGCUGGCGCCAGAAUCAGCCGGAAAUAUAGUUGAAAUCAUCACUCUUUAAUGCUUGUAUCCUCAUUAUCAGCUUACAAUGAGUAGUCUUCUCUUGAAACUAAGUCUUUUUUUAACGUGAAACCUUAAAUGAACCGAGUUUAUCAGAGAGGAACCAACUCACUUUUUCGAAAAAAAAAUGAGUUAAGAAAGUUUAUAAGUUCCACUAGGUGUAUAUUUCCUCCUGCCAAAAACUGAAUGUCGAGAAUUAGAAAUUAGUUUGUGAACAGAAGGGUUAUAGUUUAUUUCCUACAUUGAGCCUUCUGCAGAAAUAAAACUUCAAACCUCUUUCUCUCAGUUUCAACUUAAUGGGGGUUGGUUCCUUUCUGAUGAACCCGGUCCAAAUGGCAAUAAUUUCAGUUUUCUUGACAUUUUCUGUCAUACAAUUCCCAAUUUUUUUCAAUUAUUCAAUUCGGAUAUAGCUCAGUUUAAAGUUUGUGUAGCGACUGAGUGUUGUUGCUUGUAGACGGGCAUAAUAUGACGGGCAGCACUCAAAAACAAAAUAAUAUAAACAGGAAAUCAAUUAUAAGCCUGAAGUUAUGAAAGAAAUUGUGUGGAUCGUAAAUUUCAAAAAGUCUAGAAAUCACUCGAUUUGAGAAAGUUAAAGUCAUAUAAAGGCAUAUUAUGCAAUGCAUGCGUUUCUCUUAGUGCAGAGUCCCCUCAAGAAAGACAGUUCGAUUAAUGGUGUUAUUUCAGCGAUGUGAGUGUCAUGAAAGAUUUGAAACAGAAAUAAAGGAAAUAUGUAUUCAGUACGGUUGAAGCUUGCAAGAGUACUAAAUACCGGGAUACGUUUUGCCGGUGCUUUGUCACGCCGCUGAAAAAUGGAAAAAAGAUAAAAAUAAUACUCAUAAGUAGUGGAGUGCAUGGGUACAAAGUAGGAUGUCAACCUACAGGUGACAUUUUAAAAAACGUCUGAUGAAAUAGAACGCCACGUGUAGGUUAAACUUUAGAGAGCCGUAGCCUUUGAAAUCUAGAAAACACACGGCACGAAAUUAUUAUUCUCUCCGUGUUAAUAUUCCAUAACAGGCAUGGGGCGUACCUUCUAGUUUUAUUGUAAAAUAAUAGUGACGCCUCCGGAUCCUUUGGUAAAAAAAAAGACCGUGGAAACCGUAACGACAUCGAAUUAGAACCAUAAUUUUGUUAAAAACUUUAAAAGCACACAUUUUAAUAAAAUAAUCAAUUGAUGAAAAUUAGUAGUAAAUCGUAGAAAAUGAAAUUAAAUGCAAAAAAAUAUAUACAAGAGACAUGAAAAAUACAAAACUCUAAAAAUUUCUCCACGGACUCAGAUAGAUAGUCUUCUCUUUCCGAUAUGUGAUUUCAUAAUAUUUGGUCCAACUUAACUCAAUCUGUACGCACGGUUACGUGUAUAUAGGUAAAUGAAUAAGUUACUAGGAAGUAUAGUUGAGGGCACGAAAUUUUUGGAGAGAUUUUUUUGUGUGACAGGUCGAGGAAGCCGUGCGGAUGUGCGUCUCGUAAAGAAAGUGCAAUUAGCAGUUAUUAGUGACAAUAAAAACACGGAGCAAAUUAUUACCAGUCUCGCGCGGUUACGCUCCUUGAUGGGGUCAAUAAAGAUUUACAUGUUAGGAGUAUUAUUCAGCAUCUUCACUUUAAGAGUUCGAUGAAUUAUUUGCGUACACACGUUUGUUUGUCUCCGUCACCGUAGGCUAUUUGAGAAUAAUAGAGCGUUGCCAGGUCACCAUUAAAAGAAUUAAACAAGGAAAUUUUACCUGUAAAAAUCUUAUACUGAUUUAAACAAUGUAUACCUUCGUUUUCCAAACUAAAGAACAAAUAUUAACUAAUUUAACUAACAAAUAUUCAUCACAGUGCUAUACAAUUUCCAAUUGUUUGUUUUUUGAUCGGAAUUACUAUUAAGCGUUUUUGCAAGAAAAGUAAUAUCCUUCGGGCCGGAGUUGAACCAGCGACCUAUGGAUUACAAUCACGAAACCGUCUACAGUCCACCGCUCUGCCAACUGAGCUACCGAAGGUGAUGAUGAAACGGAGAUGAGAUUAGAAUACAACAGUAGGUGCAUUUGAUCAUUGCGUUCAAGCAUUUGAUAUAAUGUGCACUAAUGAAAACACGAAGCUCAGCUCAGUGAAAGGUUUCAUAACUCGGUACCUGAAAGAAAAGCACGUCAUUUUUUAAGUAUAUUUCUUCUCCUUUCACCGGUACUUAAGUGAGAUGGAGUCAGAAGGAAAGGGACUUAACGUGAAAGGAUAAACA
rnacentral:tRNA from 1 species